rnacentral:rRNA from 1 species
GAUGAACGCUAGCAGAACGCCUAACACAUGCAAGUCGUACGGAUUUGUUGACUUCGGUUAACAAGUUAGUGGCAAACGGGCGAGUAACACGUGCUUAAUCUGCCCUGGAGAGGGGAACAACUACGGAGACGUAGCUAAAUCCCCAUACGCUCAUGGAAAUGAAAAUACCAUGAGGAAACAAUUUAUUGCUCUAGGAGGAGGGUGCGGCCUAUCAGGUAGUUGGUGAGGUAACUGCUCACCAAGCCUAUGACGGGUAACCGGUCUGAGAGGAUGUCCGGUCGCAAUGGAACUGAGACACGGUCCAUACCCCUACGGGGGGCAGCAGUGGGGAAUCUUGGUCAAUGGGCGAAAGCCUGAACCAGCGAUUCUGCGUGAAGGAUGAAGCCUCGCGGGGUGUAAACUUCUUUUAUGGGGGAAGACGAAUGACGGUACCCCACGAAUAAGGGACGGCUAACUACGUG